UACGUAGGUGGCAAGCGUUGUCCGGAAUUAUUGGGCGUAAAGCGCGCGCAGGCGGUCCUUUAAGUCUGAUGUGAAAGCCCACGGCUCAACCGUGGAGGGUCAUUGGAAACUGGGGGACUUGAGUGCAGGAGAGAAAAGUGGAAUUCCACGUGUAGCGGUGAAUGCGUAGAGAUGUGGAGGAACACCAGUGGCGAAGGCGACUUUUUGGCCUGUAACUGACGCUGAGGCGCGAAAGCGUGGGGAGCAAACAGG
rnacentral:rRNA from 1 species